UACAGAGGGGGCAAGCGUUGUUCGGAAUUACUGGGCGUAAAGGGCGCGUAGGCGGCCUGUUAAGUCGGACGUGAAAUCCCUCGGCUCAACCGGGGAACUGCGUCCGAUACUGGCGGGCUAGAGUCCGGUAGGGGACCACGGAAUUCCUGGUGUAACGGUGAAAUGCGCAGAUAUCAGGAAGAACACCCAUGGCGAAAGCAGCUCUCUGGGACGGUACUGACGCUGAGACGCGAAAGCGUGGGGAGCGAACAGG
rnacentral:rRNA from 1 species